rnacentral:rRNA from 1 species
UACGUAGGUGGCGAGCGUUGUCCGGAUUUACUGGGCGUAAAGGGAGCGUAGGCUGGACUUUUAAGUGAGAUGUGAAAUACCCGGGCUCAACUUGGGUGCUGCAUUUCAAACUGGAAGUCUAGAGUGCAGGAGAGGAGAAUGGAAUUCCUAGUGUAGCGGUGAAAUGCGUAGAGAUUAGGAAGAACACCAGUGGCGAAGGCGAUUCUCUGGACUGUAACUGACGCUGAGGCUCGAAAGCGUGGGAGCAAACAGG